AAAGGGUGCGUAGGCGGGAUCUUAAGUCAGGGGUGAAAUCCCGAGGCUCAACCUCGGAACUGCCUUUGAUACUGGGGUCCUUGAGUCCGGAAGAGGUGAGUGGAACUGCGAGUGUAGAGGUGAAAUUCGUAGAUAUUCGCAAGAACACCGGUGGCGAAGGCGGCUCACUGGUCCGGAACUGACGCUGAGGCACGACAGCGUGGGGAGCAAACAGGAUUAGAUACCCUAGU
rnacentral:rRNA from 1 species